AGAGUUUGAUCCUGGCUCAGAUUGAACGCUGGCGGCAUGCUUUACACAUGCAAGUCGAACGGCAGCACGGGGGCAACCCUGGUGGCGAGUGGCGAACGGGUGAGUAAUGCAUCGGAACGUAUCCUUGAGUGGGGGAUAACGCAGCGAAAGUUGUGCUAAUACCGCAUAAGCUCUGAGGAGGAAAGCGGGGGACCGAAAGGCCUCGCGCUGAAGGAGCGGCCGAUGUCCGAUUAGCUAGUUGGUGAGGUAAAGGACGUUACCUAACGGACGACGAUCGGUAGGCUGGUCGUGAGAGGAUGAUCAGCCACACUGGGACGUGAGACACGGCCCACGAC
rnacentral:rRNA from 1 species